rnacentral:rRNA from 1 species
AACGUAGGAGGCGAGCGUUAUCCGGAUUCACUGGGCGUAAAGCGCGUGCAGGCGGUUCGGUAAAUUUGGGGUGAAAUCUCCUGGCUUAACUAGGAGAGGAUGUCCAAAACUACCGGGCUAGAGAGUGGUAGAGGAAGAUGGAAUUUCCGGUGUAGUGGUGAAAUGCGUAGAUAUCGGGAGGAACACCAGUGGCGAAAGCGAUCUUCUGGACCAUUUCUGUCGCUCAGACGCGAAAGCUAGGGUAGUAAACGGG